rnacentral:lncRNA from 1 species
AGUUUUUAUACUUCUCAUUUUCAAUUUUUACUAUUUAGGGAUUAAUAUUUUCUUUCAAACCUUAAAGUAUAUUUCUACACAUUUAUUUGUAUUUAUGUUGCAUUUAGAUGGUACACUCAAGUGUGUUUAUGUCAAUUGAAUCUAAGAAAGUCGUUUUGACUUGUGAUCCUUCGAUGAAAGACCCGUUCUUGAAGGAUUGGGUAGAAAUCAAUUUGUUUUCUUCUUUAAAUAUAAAUUAUGUUGAGUUAUAACCCAAUGUUUAGUUGUUUAAGACCAACAAAAGGCUUUAUGACAAGAAUUUAUCCAGGUACGGUAAGGUUGAAGAUAAUAUUAAAGAAAUUUAUUUUAUAUGUCUGGAUGAG